rnacentral:sRNA from 1 species
GCGCCUAAUGGCAAAGCUACUUAUAUUUCAUCAUAACUACCAUAGAAAAGUUAUCGUAAAGGAGUUAUGAUUUAAU